rnacentral:rRNA from 1 species
AUUGAACGCUGGCGGCAGGCCUAACACAUGCAAGUCGAGCGGAUGAGUGGAGCUUGCUCCAUGAUUCAGCGGCGGACGGGUGAGUAAUGCCUAGGAAUCUGCCUAUUAGUGGGGGACAACGUUUCGAAAGGAACGCUAAUACCGCAUACGUCCUACGGGAGAAAGCAGGGGACCUCCGGGCCUUGCGCUAAUAGAUGAGCCUAGGUCGGAUUAGCUAGUUGGUGAGGUAAUGGCUCACCAAGGCGACGAUCCGUAACUGGUCUGAGAGGAUGAUCAGUCACACUGGAACUGAGACACGGUCCAGACUCCUACGGGAGGCAGCAGUGGGGAAUAUUGGACAAUGGGCGAAAGCCUGAUCCAGCCAUGCCGCGUGUGUGAAGAAGGUCUUCGGAUUGUAAAGCACUUUAAGUUGGGAGGAAGGGUUGUACGUUAAUACCGUGCAAUUUUGACGUUACCGACAGAAUAAGCACCGGCUAACUCUGUGCCAGCAGCCGCGGUAA